rnacentral:rRNA from 1 species
CCUACGGGAGGCAGCAGUGGGGAAUCUUGCACAAUGGGGGAAACCCUGAUGCAGCGACGCCGCGUGAAGGAAGAAGUAUUUCGGUAUGUAAACUUCUAUCAUCAGGGAAGAAAAUGACGGUAACUAACUAAGAAGCCCCGGCUAACUCCGUGUCAGCAACCGCGGUAAUACGGAGGGGGCAAGCGUGAUCCGGAUUUACUGGGUGUAAAGGGAGCGUAGGCGGUGCAGCAAGUCAGAAGUGAAGGCCCGGGGCUCAACUCCGGGACUGCAUUUGAAACUGUUGAACUAGAGUGCAGGAGAGGUAAGUGGAAUUCCUAGUGUAGCGGUGAAAUGCGUAGAGAUAAGGAGGAACACCAGUGGCGAAGGCGGCUUACUGGACUGUAAAUGACGCUGAGGCUCGAAAGCGUGGGGAGCAAACAGGAUUAGAUACCCCAGUAGUC